AUGCUGCUGCUUUCCAAACCGCUAAACCAGGGAAUUGGUUUAUAGACAUCGACUAUAUGGAGUUUUAGGUUUAACCACAUAAUAAGAAGUGCCAUCUGGUGACAGGGUCUAAUACUGUCCAUACGGCCGUCUAAGGGGAUCAAGCCGCAAUCAAGAACCGUCUAAUACCACUUUUCAAGAGCGUAUUCUACGGACGAGACUAUAUGUUGCAUAUCUACGACAUAAACCGAAAUAACACUUGGCGGUAGGUGGUCGUAAAAGUUGCAUCUUCAUUCUACAAAAGGAAGUAUUGGGAACUACAUCCUCGACUGCACAAUAAGGAACUUUGAAAUGUUACUGACCUUGGGAAAUAACCGUAUUUACCGCACAUAUUCCUUGACGAAGGUGCCGCAUAUCUAUAGACAACUGGAUUCGAACAACGGUUUAAACGAUGCGGGAAAUAUGUUUUUCGAAUUAGCGUUAGAGCUGCUGAACUACGAGCCAAAGACCAAAGUAGCUAGCCCGGGAAUUGGAAGAUUCGGGUUCGAGUCCUUCACAAUUGGGUUCGAGCUUCUUUCACAUCAUAGAUUGAAACCGCUAACUAAAUGUGGUAUGUAAUGUUUCUUUUUUUUUCUUCUAUGGCUGCUAUUCAACUUCAAGUAUUCUAUUAGCAUUUCCUCAAUUAGGGAAAAGUGUGGCACAAUCACCACCCUACACUUUGGUUCUUGUGGAAUAAUAUAAAUCCUCCGCAUCCUGCAGAUUUGUCUCUUUAGUCAUCUCUAUAUUGUGUCUUGCCUAUAAUAUAAGCAUGAAACAUAUUGAUUAUUACAGUUUAAGGAUAUUAUUAAUUGGUUUUGAAAAAUAUGUUUUUUCGAUGCGUUUAUUUACUGUAUGGGGCGAAACUCGACACCACCUCGGGGAAAGGCGAGCAACGUCCAUAAAAUAUUUUCGAAAAUGUUUUGAACUUUAGGUAUUAUUUUUUUACUUGAAAAGAUUAUGCAUAAAUGAUGUUACUUUGUCGCUUUAAAA